GAUGAACGCUAGCGGCAGGCCUAACACAUGCAAGUCGAGGGGCAGCACAUAAAGUGGUUUACUACUUUUGGUGGCGACCGGCGGACGGGUGCGUAACGCGUAUGCAACCUGCCUCCAACAGGGGGAUAACGGAGAGAAAUUUCCACUAAUACCCCAUAAUAUCAGAAUCGGCAUCGGUUUUGGUUGAAAACUCCGGUGGUUGGAGAUGGGCAUGCGUUGUAUUAGAUAGUUGGUGAGGUAACGGCUCACCAAGUCAACGAUACAUAGGGGGACUGAGAGGUUAGCCCCCCACACUGGUACUGAGACACGGACCAGACUCCUACGGGAGGCAGCAGUGAGGAAUAUUGGUCAAUGGGGGCAACCCUGAACCAGCCAUGCCGCGUGCAGGAAGACGGCUCUAUGAGUUGUAAACUUCUUUUAUUGGGGAAUAAUGGGUGGGACGUGUCCUGCAAGCGAAUGUACCCUAUGAAUAAGCAUCGGCUAACUCCGUGCCAGCCGCCGCCGUAA
rnacentral:rRNA from 1 species